rnacentral:rRNA from 1 species
GGGGAAUAUUGCACAAUGGGGGAAACCCUGAUGCAGCAACGCCGCGUGAGCGAUGAAGGCCUUCGGGUUGUAAAGCUCUGUCUUCGCUGACGAUAAUGACGGUAGGCGAGGAGGAAGCCACGGCUAACUACGUGCCAGCAGCCGCGGUAAUACGUAGGUGGCAAGCGUUGUCCGGAAUUACUGGGCGUAAAGGAUGCGUAGGCGGCCUCUUAAGUGGGAUGUGAAAUGCCGGGGCUUAACCCCGGAGGUGCAUUCCAUACUGGGAGGCUAGAGUGCAGGAGAGGAAAGCGGAAUUCCCAGUGUAGCGGUGAAAUGCGUAGAGAUUGGGAGGAACACCAGUGGCGAAGGCGGCUUUCUGGACUGUAACUGACGCUGAGGCAUGAAAGUGUGGGGAGCAAAC